rnacentral:rRNA from 1 species
AAACUUUCAGCAACGGAUCUCGUUGGUUCUGGCAUCGAUGAAGAACGCAGCGAAAUGCGAUAAGUAAUGUGAAUUGCAGAAUUUAGUGAAUCAUCGAAUCUUUGAACGCACAUUGCGCCUAUUAGUAUUCUAGUAGGCAUGCCUGUUCGAGCGUCAUUU